UACGUAGGGAGCAAGCGUUGUCCGGAAUCAUUGGGCGCAAAGCGCGCGUAGGUGGCUUCAUAAGUCCGUUGUGAAAGUCAAAGGCUCAACCUUUGAAAGCCGAUGGAUACUGUGGAGCUAGAGUACGGAAGAGGCGAGUGGAAUUCCUGGUGUAGCGGUGGAAUGCGCAGAUAUCGGGAGGAACACCGGUGGCGAAGGCGGUUCUCUGGGCCUGUACUGACGCUGAGGAGCGAAAGCGUGGGGAGCGAACAGG
rnacentral:rRNA from 1 species